GCCUGUGGAUAAAAGGCCUUUGUCAUUGACUUGUAAUCAGUAGGUCCCGGGUUCGAUUCCUGGUGCCGGCACCA
rnacentral:tRNA from 1 species